CGUAGUGGCAAGCGUUGUCCGGAUUUAUGGGUUUAAAGGGUGCGUAGGCGGUUUUCUAAGUCAGCAGUGAAAUACGGCAGCUCAACUGUCGAGGUGCUGUUGAUACUGGGGAACUUGAGUACUGAUGAGGUAGGCGGAAUGGACGGUGUAGCGGUGAAAUGCUUAGAGAUCGUCCAGAACACCGAUAGCGAAGGCAGCUUACUAAGGAGUAACUGACGCUGAGGCACGAAAGUGUGGGGGAUCAAACAGGAUUAGCUACCCUGGUAGUCCACACUGUAAACGAUGAUUACUCGAUGUGUGCGAUACACAGCACGCGUCUUAGCAAAAGCGAUAAGUAAUCCACCUGGGGAGUACGCCGGCAACGGUG
rnacentral:rRNA from 1 species